AUUGAACGCUGGCGGCAGGCCUAACACAUGCAAGUCGAGCGGGGUUUUCGGACCUAGCGGCGGACGGGUGAGUAAUGCGUAGGAAGCUGCCCGAUAGAGGGGGAUACCAGUUGGAAACGACUGUUAAUACCGCAUGAUGUCUACGGACCAAAGUGUGGGACCUUCGGGCCACAUGCUAUCGGAUGCGCCUACGUGGGAUUAGCUAGUUGGUGAGGUAAUGGCUCACCAAGGCGACGAUCUCUAGCUGGUUUGAGAGGAUGAUCAGCCACACUGGAACUGAGACACGGUCCAGACUCCUACGGGAGGCAGCAGUGGGGAAUAUUGGACAAUGGGCGCAAGCCUGAUCCAGCCAUGCCGCGUGUGUGAAGAAGGCCUUCGGGUUGUAAAGCACUUUCAGCGAGGAGGAAGGGUGGUGUGUUAAUAGCACAUCAUUUUGACGUUACUCGCAGAAGAAGCACCGGCUAACUCUGUGCCAGCCGCCGCGGUAAGAC
rnacentral:rRNA from 1 species